rnacentral:tRNA from 1 species
GGGGAUUUAGCUCAGUGGUAGAGCACUUGCCUAGCAAGCACAAGGCCCUGGGCUUAGUCCCCA